rnacentral:rRNA from 1 species
UCUUCCCUACGGGACGCAGCAGUGGGGAAUAUUGCACAAUGGGGGGAACCCUGAUGCAGCAAUGCCGCGUGGGUGAAGAAGCACUCCGGUGCGUAAAGCCCUGUCAGCAGGGAAGAAAAUGACAGUACCUGGACAAGAAGCCCCGGCUAACUACGUGCCAGCAGCCGCGGUAAUACGUAGGGGGCAAGCGUUAUCCGGAUUUACUGGGUGUAAAGGGAGCGCAGGCGGCGUGGCAAGUCAGAUGUGAAAAGCCGGGGCCCAACACCGGGAGUGCAGUUGAAACUGCCAUGCUGGAGUGACGGAGG